rnacentral:lncRNA from 1 species
AACUCAUACACCAUGUACAAGGCUGAAAAUGAAAGACAACAUAAGAAAUAAAAUGCUUCAUGAUUGUCCCCUCGAAGUAUGAGGACUCACCAAUCCACUAAACUGGGAUAGAAAUCUGAACUAGCCACGAGCGAGAAGAGAAGUGUUGUACCCUAUAUUAUAAAAUAGUAUAGGCACAAGUAUGCAUUAGUACAUGGAAUGUAGUAAGUAUGGAGAAAUAUGUAUAAACAUAAACAUGGUCAUUUGGGAAAUUUAAACAUGAUAUGCAUGACCAAGCGAAAAAAUUGUUAAAGCCUUUGAGGGAAAUCAUAUAUCAUACAUUAAUCAAAGACAUAAUUAAAGCUUUUAAGGAAAAGUCAUAAUUAUUUUGUGGGAUAUUAGCUUUAACUAACAAUAGACUAUGUGAGCUAUAAAAUAGAAUCCGAUGUAACUCCCACACCGAGAAGGGAGAUUCUACUUGCCAAGGUAUAACUUUGUAUCAUAUCAUAAAGGUUGUGUCAAAUCCACUAGCUAGGUCAUUUAAGAUAAUCCUAUAGGGGCAUAUAGUUUGGAACUAUAGAUUGCUACUAGAGACUACCGUAUUUGAGCCUCUACCUCAAAGUUUUGUCGGUGCAAAAUUAAAUACCAACAAAAUAGAUAAAGUUAAUUAUCAAAGCAUAAAAUUUGAAAUGGAAAUAAUCACCAUACCAUUCAAAAUCUUAAAAAUGUAUAAGAGUAGCACUUUUAAAUCAUGAUUCAUACAUAUGUGAUAAGGAUUUUCACAACCAUGAUUUCAUAAUAUGUGAGAAAACAUUUAACAAUUCAUUGAUACUUAUCUCAAAAGCAUCCUUAGUUCAUAAAAUAUCAUUUUCAUCAAAUAUGCAUCACUUUCAUAAAUCAUCAUUCAUAAGUUCAUACGUUUUCUUAAUAAAUUCACAGUGAUGAUCAAUUAUAAUGCACGGGUCCAUAUGAAAUCAAUUGAAAAUCAUGUAAUUGAAUCAUAUCAUGCAUAAUAAGAUUGGAAAUCAAACAAUUGAAUCAGAACAAAGAGGAUCCAUGGAGAUUUCCAUGCAACCCUAAUCAAAUUGGGUAAGAAAUUGAAUUGGAGAAUGAGAUUCUUUGGGGACCAAUGGAUGAAUGAAAUCCAUUGGUGGAUUCCCACCUACCUUGAUAUCAAACCAUAGAAAAUCAAGAGAAAGAGAAGAACUUGAAGCUUGAAACCAUAGCUUUUCUUCCUUGAGCUUGAGAGUGAAUUGGAGAGAAGGAACUUGGAUGGGAAUUGAGAAUUUGAGAGAAUGAGAGGGUUUGGGUAGUUUUAGGAAUUGAAAGGUAGUUAUAAGACUUAGAAAUAUGGCCAAAACGAUUUAGUAUAGGUAUUAGUUUCAUUGCAAAAGAACCAAAUAACCUUAAGAAAUACCUGUCGAACAGGACCUACGAUUCGUAGGACUUUCUAGGGCUUGUACUAGUCAACCGUAGAACAAACUUCAGAAACCCAAAAAAUAAUCCAAAUUCCAUGAGACCCUUCUGCGAUCUGUCAUUCCUUCUAUGGUACGUAGAACCCAUGUUCAAGUACAAAAUUUCACUAAGUAUGGAUUACUGCUAUGGAUCCAACCUAUGACACAUAGAACUCAUCCUUUUCACUCAUAGGUCAAACAUAAGAGACUUAAAAUUUCAAAAACUCAACCUAAGCCCUACCAUUUUCCUUUUAUAGCUUGUAGAACUUCCUAUGGUCCGUAGAUAGGACUCGUAACUCACUACUUUAGUGACAAAACUGAACCUUUCUUUUCGAAUACGACUUUCCACACUAUAGGAAAAUUGUGAAUUACAUGGGGAUUUUCCUAGGGAUUAGUAUGAAAAUCCACAUGAAACUUAUUUUUCUAAAAAUUUUCAUACUACUCCCUAGGAAAAUCUCCAUGUAAUUCACCAUUUUCUUGUAGUACCAAUUUCUGAGGUGCUACAUCAAGCAAUAGAAUCUGUAAAUUAGCCAAUUGUUCCAUAGAUUUUACCAUUUCAAAUUUUCAGCCUCUACAUAACUCAAAUGGCUUAUAGACUUACGACUUAAAGAAUUUGCCACAACAUUUAAUUUACUUGGAUGGUAUAGAAUGCUCACAUCAUAAUAUUUUAGUAAUUCUAACCACCUUCUCUACCUUAAAUUCAACUCUUUUAACUAAACAAGUAAUUGAGACUCUUAUGAUCCAUGAAGAUAUAAAUGUGUACCACAUAAAAGUAGUGCAUCAUAUCCUCAAUGCAAACACUACAAUUGCAAAUUCUUAGAUCAUGGGUAGGUGAUUCUAGUCGUGCUUCCUCAACUGUGUAGAAGCAUAGGCAAUAACCUUGUCAUGAUGCAUCUAAACACAACCCAACCCAACUUUGGAAGCAUCAGAAUAAACAACAUAACCCUAUAUACCCUUAGGAAGGGUCAAGACAGGUGUUGAAGUUAAUUUAUCCUUUAAUUUGUAGAAACCUUUCUUACAGGCCUCUAACAACUAAAACUUAACUGCUUUAUGAGUCAACUUCGUCAACAAUACGGAGAUAAUAGAGAAACAUUCCACAAAUAUGUGAUAAUAUCCCGGUAAACAUAAAAAUUUACCAACCCUUAUAGGAUUCAUAGGUAUGGGCCAACUCUUUAUAGCUCCUAUUUUCUAGCUAUAAGCCCUUAUACCUUCAUCUAUAAUUAGAUGACCACGAAAAUCUAUAGAUGUUAACCAAAUUCACUUUUAAAAAACAUAGUGUACACCCUUUGCUCUUGGAGAGUCUGUAGCACAACUCUUAGGUCAUGCUCGGCCUCUUAUUGCAAAUAAAUCAAGAUGUAGUGAAUGAAGAUGAUCACAAACACAUAAAGAAAGGGCUUAAAUUACAUGUUAAUCAUAUCCAUAAAGGUUUUUGGUGCAUCGGUAAGUCCAAAUGAGAUCACCAGAAACUCAUAAUCUCCAUAUCGGGUUGUGAAAGUAGUUUUAUGGACAUCUACUUGUCUAACUCGUAACUGGCGGUGUCCUGACGUCAAAUCAAUUUUGGAAAAACAUCUAGCUCCCUACAACUGGUCAAAUAAAUCAUAAAUCGUGAGGAGCGGAUACUUAUUCAUAAUCGUUACUUUGUUCAGAUUUCUAUAGUUAAUACAAAUUCAUAAAGAUUUAUAUUUUUUUCAUACAAACAUGACUAGUUCAACCCUCUGUUUUAUUUUAGGCCAUAUGAAACAUUUCUCGAGCAAAUCUUUCCAUUUCUCCUUCAACUUUCUCAACUUUGCUAGAGCCAUUUUAUAAGGAGGUAUUGAGGCAGAGUACUUUGGAGUAGAUCAAUGACAAAAUAUAUUUCCCUUUCAGGAAGGACUCCAUGUACACCAUGUGGGAAAACUCCUGGAAACCACUUAAAACAAAAAUAAAUUUAAGAAUUGCAUGUUCGCUUUCUAGGUAUCUAACCUGAACAAAAUGAAAUAUAGCCUUUAGAUAUCAACUUAUGGACUCUAAGGUAUGAAAUAAACUUACCUUAAGGCAUAGCAACAUUACACUUCCAUUAUAAGACCAACUCAUCUGGAAAUUGAAAUCAACAUUACUAUAACAUGCUACUAUCCAUUUCAUGCCCAAAAUAACAUAAAAAUCAACCAUAUCAAGUGAUGAGUCCACAGUUUGGACUCAUUUAGGGCUCCAUUUUAAUAGAGUUAGUGUCCUCAAAUGCAUAUUUUGUCUCAAUAACUGAUGUAAAUCCUUAAGUUUCAGGUAUUUGAGUUUGAGGCAAGGCUUGGACACUACUUGGCAAAAAGGAACAAAACGGCUAAAAAAAUGGAGAAAAGAAGGCCUGAGGAUCCCUAAUGCAAUCGGUAAGUCACCGAAUGGCCUUAACCUCGCUCAAAGUUCCAUUGUGCUGAGCCCUGAAGGGAAAUAUCAAGUUGGCGAUGAAAAGGAGCAGUCAGUGUGUCGUUGAACAGUUCCGUGAAGCAGUACUAUAUCGCCCAAUGAUCUAGAACACGAAGAUGCUGAAGGCAAAAGCUGAAAGGCGAUGAAGCAGACCAAAGGGCAGAUCGCCGAAUGCAUCGGCGAUUCCAACUAACUGCGCCGAGUGAACCUUCGCAGCACAUUUUUUGACAACUAUAAAUAUUAGUUUAAAUUUGUAUCUUAGUAUGCAAUUUCAGAUACAACAAUUUUAUUUUCUAAGUUUACAAGUAGAGAACAUAUUUGCUUAGCUUUUAAAGAUUUGAAGACUUCCAAUUCCAAGAAAUUUGAAGUGGGUGUUGAAGAUUCUUCAUCUUAGACUUGUUUAAAGUGAAUAUAAAUCAUACCGAGUUGAUGUUACUUUGAUUUGGUAUCAUUUUCUUCCUUUUUCUAUGUCUAGCUAAAACCCAAUUCUUGGGGUGUGAUUUUGUGAAUAUGGGUUAAAUUUCCUGUUGGGUAUUGCUUAUUGUUAGUCUAUUUGCUGUUUAAAUGUGAUUUCGUUUAGUAGUUGUGUUUGAACUUAAUGGGAUUGUAGUUGCAAAUACGAUUUCAUCUUAGUGUUUUUGGCUGGCUCGAGAGACAGGUUUUAAAACUAAGACUACUUAAUCGAUAGCCGGUGGUUAUUGGGUCGUCGUGGGUUCAGCUCGAGAGAGUGAAUCCUAGGGUUUUUCACACACAUUCAGCUCGAGAGAGUGAAUGGGCUAAGGCGGAGGUUGUGCUUAAAAGUGGCAACUCGGUGUUCGAGAGAAACUGAGUUGAUUCAGGGUAAGUUGCUCAAGAGAGAAUUUACCCCCACUAAAGUCUAGCCUAGUUACAAAUGUUCAGCAAUUGACUAUCAAUAGCAUUUACCCGAUUGUGUAGUUUAUCCCAUAUUCCUAUCACAUCCCAAGAAUCUCGUCUCCUAUAUUCGCAUCUUUUUGUUUUCACUGUUUUUGUUCAUUAAUUGAAUACAAACUCCCCCAUUGAUAAUUGACAUUUAUGCCAACCCCUUAAUUUAUCAUGAUUUUACUCGAUAAAGUUUUAGCUAUGGUUAACUCUAGCAUACUUGCACUUAACUCUUAAUUCUUAGAAACUGCUCCCUUGGGACUCGACCCCAACCCAUUUGGUUGGGUUAUAUUACUAUUGUACUAUCGUAGACACUUGAAUCGGAAGUUGUGUCUUGAUUACACAAACAUCAUCAAGCUCUUUUAGAUCAACUCGGGUAAAUCUACUACAUACCAACACUACACUGUUUCAAUAAACCCUGCUACCUAAUAUAGACUCACAAAUAAGAGUAGAAAUGAUAGAUGGUUAAAAUAAUAAUUCAAGAAAUAUUUCGAAUUGACUUGCAACCAAUAGAGUAACAUAAAAGAGGGUAGAAGCAGGAUCCCCGUACUCUUUUUUCCUAUUUUCUUUAUUAUUUCAUGUCGAGCUUUAGAAAGACACUGGGAGGGAGAAUGAACGAUCGACUGCUAAAGAUCUUGAAUAAAGCAUUGAUAGCUUUGCAGAGGAGAAAAACUUUGAUUCUUCUUGAAUGUGUUCCUUGCAUGUUGAAGUGAACAGGGGCGGUACCAACUACGACUAGAAAGCGGCCACUCCUGUCAAUGAAUACCAUUCAUGAUUGUCUAUGUUAGUAACAUAGCCAUAACAACUUUGUUUUACUGCUUGAGGUGGUGAUAACUUUUAUAUAUUUGCUUUAUUAUAAGCUUGCAUAGUGCUCUAUCAAGAAAAAAAUAUAGUAUUUAAGAAUAAUUAAUCAAUGUACCUAUGACAAUGUCAAAUGAUACCUCCUAGUCCUGGUGACCACCCAUUGCAUAAAACAAAAUUUACGUCCCUUCAACCAGAUGACUCUCCCCCUCUACACCUUCCACUUCCUGAAGUGGAUUGAGGACCGAGUCUUGGAGGGAAACUUGAUGAAGCUAAUGAUGAUUCUGUUUGUUAAAUCAUACAACCUCUCUCUCUCUCUAUAAUAAGAUAGUACCGCCUAAUAUGCCCUAAAUUACCACACAUAUAAAAUAGUUUUAUCCCCUGAUGACAUGGUCCAGGAUGUGCCCUUCUCAACUAAGCACAAUGCAGCAAUGGUGGUCUUCCCUACUCUGAAUGCUCAAGUCGUUGCAGAGAGACUGAACUCUAAUCUCUCAUAUAAACCUGUAACACGGAUGAAUUACUCUCUACAGGUCUAGACAAUUGCCUGGAUGAAAAAGCCUCGUGGUCCCCUUGAGGUUCACUUAGAAAACAACAGUCUUAGCUCUCUUCCUCUGUUUCUACUCUCUACGAGUAUCUCGUAGCUGAUGAAACAAAUCCUUCUCCCUUUGGGCAAGAGCCUGCUUUUGUGCAAUAUUUGUAUCAGUCUCAGUAGACAUUCCUAAGCAUUUAUGAGCCACAUAAGACCCUAAACAUAAAAAAAAAAAUAGAUACACUCUAUCCUUCUUCGUCUGCACCAUGUGGGAAUCAUAUAUGGCCAAGGAAUUAAAUCUGAGGCUAUACUCACGCAUACCCAUAUUACCCUAUUGCAUAUGUAAGAACUACUCAACUUGAGCCUGUCGAAGGUCUUCUUGUAGGUACUGCUCUAUAGAGACCUAGGAGAACUCUUUCCACCAGCUGGAGGUGCAUUAGUUUCGUUAGUUUUUUCCCAUGCCUCAUAAAAUAAUAUAGCUACAUCACAUAGCGUGAAUGAUCCUAGCUCUACUCCCUCCAUAACUAUAACCCGCAUCACCUUCAAUAUUCUACAAUUCUUAUCAAUAACAUCCUGAGGAUCUUCUUUGGAUAAGAUCUACAGAAAAGUAAAGGAAUCAAGUUCAGAAACUCACAAGCCCGCACAACUUCUAGGCUUUAUGCUACUUCAAACUUUCAUGCUGUCCAACAUCUUUACAAGCCAUAAACUUAAUUGCUCCCUCAGUGCCCAGUCCUUUUAGAGAUUCUGGAGGUUUGAUAGGUGUUGGAGGUACAAAAACUUUGUCACCCUCGUGUAUCACUAGGAAUGGUGAUGUUGGAUGUUUUUCUAAUGUAGCUCUACCUGGAGAAAGAGGGGCUGUAAUAUCUGGAGCAGGACACUCGCUUUGAACCUCUAAUCUAUAUCUUUGUUCAUUAGGUGGGCGUAUAUUACCAUCUCCUGAAGUUAUACAUUGUGUAGAUAUCUACCUCAUCGUCAACAUAUUCUGAAAUAAUUACAUGAAUAGGAUAUCAUAUAACCUGAUGACUUCGCUCUAUAGCACGAAUUGUCCAUGAAAAUGUGAAACAACACCAAAGUUUCCUAUAUCCUCAUGAUUGUAACUAUGGUGCACCACAUACCCAUAAGAAAGACUCUACUAUACAUGGCUUUGUGGACUCCUUAGUACACGACCUCGCUAUGAUACAAGGUUUGUCACGCCCUAAAACUAAGGUAGGGUGCGACUGGCCUCGAUAUUGACUGAAUUGAGAAGCUGUCUAUAUAACAUAUGAAAUUGUAAUACACAGGCAACCAGACCACCUAUCACAACCUCCUAGACCGACAAGGUCACAACUAAAUAAAAUUUGAUAAAAAUAAGGUUAACUAAGCCAUAAUGUAACUGAGCUGAACAAUGGAAUGCCGACAAGACCAUAAAACCAAACUGAACAAAACUAUACAUUAGCGUCCACAAAACCCUCUAAAGAGUAACAAACUUAGUUUUCAGAACAGAUAAUGGCUCCUGAAAAACAGAAGCAUACAAACUCUCAGCUGAAGUUAGACUCCUAUUGCAACUAACGAUAAAAGCAUGUAUCUGCACCUGCAUCAUGAAUGUGGCGUAUACAAGCGUAGGGACAUCAGUAAAAAUACCAUGUACUGGUAUGUAAGGCUAAAAGCGGUAAAACGGAGUAUAUCAAAGAUACUAAACUACAGUUAGGGAUAGAAAAAACCUGAGAUUCCGGAAGCUGAGAUUUGAUAAUGACUUAACAUUUAUCUUCUAAUGCAUCAAAUUAAGCACAUAUACCAAUCAUACCUCCCCAAUGGUGAACUAUAUGAUAAUCAUGUCAUAGUAGCGACCCUACUUAGCCGAGAUGGCCAUCUUGGUGGUGUAAUGACGGAGUAAGAAUCAGCCCACCAGACAUGUUUGUCGUGGUAUUAUGGUGACAAAGUAAGAAUAUACCCACCAGACAUGCAUGCAGUGGUGUUGUGGUGAUUCAGUAAACAUCUAUCCACUAGACAUGCCUGGUGGUGUGGUAAACUAUAGUACUAUAGCUUCCUACCGACAUUACCCCAUUGGUAGUGUAACAUGAAGUCAUAACCACUAUCAUCUACCAAGCCAAACAUGCUCAUAUCGAGUGUAUCUAAUAAUUAUACCACAUAUGCAAUCUAACUCUAAGAAUGCAACCUAAAUAGGCCACUUCAAGACUCGUGAAUUGUAACUAUGUACAUGUAACAUAUAAAGCUUUCAAAUAGCAUAUAAAUAUGCCUACUCUAUACUUAAACAAUAGCUAGAAGGUUUAGAUGUCAUAAGGAAUCCAAUAGGCUUAUGAAUGAUGUACCAAAUCUAUUUACAAUGCCUUCACGUAUAGCUUGAACAAGAGAUCAUAUAUUUUUAUUUUUAUUUGAUCAACUCUUUUACGAUCUGUAUAUAUACAUAUAUUCUAUCCGUAAGGUGCUUCUUUUACCCGUGUCAAAAAUUAUGUUAUUUUACUCUGUUUAUAAACUUAUUGUGUCGAUGAUCACCAAUAGUUCUUAAUGUUUUUCAUGAAACUCACAUACACAACUACUUUUAAAUGAAAACACAUAUAGGACCAGCUCACAGUGCUCACGAUAAGGGGUCUCCAAACACAAUUUACAACUACGAAAACAAUUGUAUAUAAAUCGCCAUUUUUGUCAUAUUCAUAUAUUUUAAUAUUAUAAAAAUUAUAGAAAAUCACCAUGUUUUUCCAACCUUUUAACCGAACCAUACAAUACCUUAAUAGGAGUUGAAAACAUAGGAAUACUAGUCCAAUCAACGAUGUAUAUUGGUUCUUGAAAAUAGAGGAAAGGGGUAUCUAACCUUUAUUUGAGUCCUUUAACAUAAUACAAUGUCUGGAUUAUCUCUUGCUCCUUCAAUAUAAAACAACAACCAAUGAAAAUUCAACUUUAAAUAGUUAUACAACACAUCCAAGUCAUUUAGUCUAUUCAACAAACACAUGAUGGGCGUAAAUUCAAGAGAAAUUUAAAUCAAUAGGUGUUCGUAGUAUUAAUCCAUUCAUAUUACCAACAACAAUACACUACACUUAAAUGACUCUAAUACAUUAACCUCCAUCCACAAGACCAGUGCACACAUCCCUCACCAAAAACAUCAAUUAACAUGAGGGGAAUUUUUUUUCACGACUCCCUAUUACCAUCCUAUGAGUUGUACCCAUAUUUUAUAUAGCUAAAACAUGAAGAACAUCACAUACAUGAGAGAAGGGAACAUGUACAUACCUUGCUUGAAGCAGAUGUUGUCCCUUAAGAUUGUAUUUAACCAAGAAGAAAGGUUGUCUCUUCACUCCAAAGACAGACUUAAGUGAAUAAUAUGCUUGGUUGAGGAACAAUACUUGAUUCUUGGUUGAUUUCUCAAUUAGGGCUUUUGGAGAGGAGAGGGCUUCAAGAACCAAAAACGAGGAGCUUCAUAAAUAACUUAGGAAAUGUCUCUAAUGAAUUCACCUCAUACAUAUCAUUUUUAAAAUAUUUGUAAUGACAUAACAUGUGCUACUCACGUUCCCAACACAACCAAUUUAGGUUUCUGCGUAGUUCGUAGUAAAAUAAGCAUAUCCAUUUUCUCUGAAGUCUUAUUGAUGAGUGAUUUAUUUCAUUAAACUACACUCACAUGUAUUUAAUUUUAUAUAUUAUAUAACCUAUAAAUCCUCAUAUGCUAGGAGAUAUGAUUAUCUCAAUUUAGACCACAUAUGAGAUUAUAUGAAAUAAUCUGUCGUAAUGUAACCUUCUAACUUGUAACCUUGUUAUGACACUUAUGUUGAUGCACAAUGAGUAACAACCAAUAUGAUCAUCCCUUUAGAACCUUAUUCUCCUGGCAACUCAUCAACAAACAACGUAAGAUGAAAAAUAUAGUUUUGGACGCGUAUAUCUUUAGCUUACUGAGUUAGUUACCUUAAAAUAUACGGGGCGUUACAAUUUGGCUUGCCUACCUUUGUUUAUAUGACAUAUUGUUACUCAGGUCAUGACCUUAACGGUCAGCUUAGUAUUUCAAAUGUUGUGUUACCUGACCUUUUGGGCCCUUAGUUUAAUUAGCUAGUAUAUUUUAGUGACUAACUUGACUGAAUACGGUUUUGUGUUCCGCUCACGCCUCCCCUAGUUUUGAGGGUGAAAUAAACAAUACUGAAAUGUAGAUUGAUCAUUCAUACAUUGCACCCCUCUUAAGAAUAGGAAAAUUAGUUAUUCAUGACAUAAAUUAAAAAAGUAAUACCAACAUUAUCAGCUAUAAUAGUUAUUGAGUUGAAUCCCUACAUAAAUGAAUCUUCAAAAGCCUUCAAUCACAAGAAGGUUCCCAGAUCUCUAACUACAAGAUUCUUCCUAAUUGUAAGGGUUUUGUAGAGAAUGUACUAUGAAUUUUAAAGAAUGUAAAGAAAGUGUUCUCUCAUUUUAAAAUCUAUUUAUAUUUUUGAGAAAAUAUUCACAAAAAUGCUCUUCGAGACAAUUUAAUGAUCUUAAUUGAACUCACAUAAUUGUUUGGCAAUACACCAAUUUGUCACUCACCUCGCUGAAUCGGUUUGUGCAAUUGAUUUCUUUUUUCAGGCAACUGUGAAUUUGGAAGAUACUCUAGACCUUUGCUGAGUCAAUUCGGUAAUAUUAUGAAUGUCCUUUUUGUGUCGCCAACUUGAUGAGCAUUUAAAAGGUAGCGGCUGCUAUUUUAGGAGAGCUGAAAGUCAGUUUACUAUGCUUCAAACUUGAUGCGCAAUGCUCAGUGCAAACUUGACUACCUUUUUCUUCUUUUGCUUUCUUCCUCUUCUUUUCAACUCCAAGGUAUCCUUAGAACUUUCAUAGUUGAAAUAUUAUUAAAUUAUGAUCAAAAGGGGUAUAAAUAAGCAUUGAGGACAUUACUUUUUUAUGAGAAAAAAAGCCUGAAAUGAGUCCUAAAUCUCCAACUCAUCAUUAUUUUCUUAAAAAAUAUUUGAUAAUACAAAAUUUAGUCAAGUUAUAUAUAACAUCCUCCAAAAAAAAAUAUUUGCAUUGUUUAAGAAAUUAAACAUUUCUAAGAAUUAUAAUGCUUUCUUUCCAAAAAAAUUUUGUUAACACUUCGAAAUUUUGUUGUAAUAUACCAGAAUAUCUUGAUAAUAUUUUAUUUGAAAAAUAUUAAUUAAAUAAAUAAAUACAAGUUAAUUUGAAUGUUAAAUGCACUCUUGGCAUUAUCAAAAUUAAAAUAUAAAUCAAAUUAGAAAGUAAAUACAAAGAAUUUAAUUUCCAUGAAGACAAACAACUGGAUACAAAUCAAGAGUGCAAAAGAUUAAUAUCUACAGUAUUUUUAUUUUAUUUUUUAAAAAGUUAUAUAAAGUAUACAUAUAUCUGUGUAUUUCUUAUUUUUAAAUAUGUAUCUAUAUAGUCCAUAUUAAAUAUAGUGAUGAAUUGUUUAUGGAUAAUUUAUUAGUAAAUAGUAGAGUGAAAAAUUUUACCAAAACAAAUGUCUGAUCUAUAAACAAACUCAAAAAUGGAUAGGUCAACAAAAAAUCUAAGUUCUCAUAUUUUUAUAUAUCAUUUUAUAAGGUAGAAAAACAAAGAAGUUCAAUUUUAUGAAAUUAAGACAUAAAAUAUUAUGAUUAUUAUUUUUUUAAUUUCACUACCUUCAAUUUAUCCAAGCUCAUCCAAUAAAAAAGAUUUAAAUUUUCUGGACAUGUCCACUUCAAUUUAUCCUCAAUAAAUGAUAUAGAGAUAAAAUAGACAUGCUAGAUAUGGUGGGCGAGUCCCAAGAAUUCUUUAUGAUUUGAAAAAUAAAGUUGCGUUUAGAUUUAACAAGUAGAAGGAAAAAAUUGCAAGAAAGUUUUGUCAGGAGAAAGAAAAAGAAGAAGAAAAAGUUUAAAAUGGGUGAGAAAAAGUAAGGAUAUAGAAAGAAAAUGAUACCUCUUAAAACAUAGCUUGCACCAUCGAAUUAACCUCCACUCCUCCUCCAACCACUAUAAUCCAGCCAGGUCAAGUGGAACCUCCUCUGAAAGAUACUUUCAAACUCAAUAUUGACGGAUCCUUCGACUCCUUAAACCGCAUAGGAGGCAUCGGAGGGGCAAUUCGGGACGACCUGGGAAACUCGAAAGUUGAUUUCCACUACAAAUUGAUGGGAAUUACCUCUACCCAUAUGGAAAUUCUUUCCUUACUUAAAGGAGCAGAGUUGGCCGACUAAUUUCACCUCAAGCCUUUGGAGAUAUAGACCAAUUCCAGUGAUAUAAUACGAAUUCUAACCGAAGAUACUAAUCUAAUCUAUAAACCUCCUGUUUCCUUAUGCAGGUAUUGGCUGGAAAAACUAGGGAAUCUGACAAUCCAACAUAAUUUUAGGGAGAGCAACAAAUUAGCACACAUACUAGCAACUUAUACGAGGAAAAAUGGUAUUAAAGAAUGUAUAAUCCUCCUAACACCACCCUUAUGGACGCUGCAACUACUAGAAGAUCAGCAUGUAUACACUAUCACUUAAAAAAUGUCAGCCAGAACUUUUAAUAAUCUAGUAAAAUAUGGGUAUACUAAUAUCUCUGAUGUAGUAUUAUCAUAUGUAACUUUUCCUCA